CAACAGGCGAAGAAGAGGAGUAGUAGCCUUCAAACCCUUCAUUCAGAGAGUCGGUGGCUGGUGCAAACCGAUAUGCAGGGCAGGCGAACUCGCCUCGGAGCCGGCCUGGGGAAAACGACAGUACCCUCGCCGUCAACCCCGCGUUAAGGGAAAAUGAGUGGGCAGGCAUUGCUUGCCAAUUAGGGUGGUACCGCGGGAACAGAUGCUGUUUAACACCUCUCGCCCCUAGC
rnacentral:ncRNA from 1 species